GAUGAACGCUAGCGGCAGGCUUAACACAUGCAAGUCGAGGGGUAUAGGCUUUCGGGCCUAGAGACCGGCGCACGGGUGCGUAACGCGUAUGCAAUCUACCUUUUACAGAGGGAUAGCCCAGAGAAAUUUGGAUUAAUACCUCAUAGUAUUAUGAAAUGGCAUCAUUUUAUAAUUAAAGUUCCAACGGUAAAAGAUGAGCAUGCGUCCCAUUAGCUAGUUGGUGUGGUAACGGCACACCAAGGCAAUGAUGGGUAGGGGUCCUGAGAGGGAGAUCCCCCACACUGGUACUGAGACACGGACCAGACUCCUACGGGAGGCAGCAGUGAGGAAUAUUGGACAAUGGGCGCAAGCCUGAUCCAGCCAUGCCGCGUGCAGGAUGACGGUCCUAUGGAUUGUAAACUGCUUUUAUACGGGAAGAAACCCUGGCUCGUGAGCCAGAUUGACGGUACCGUAGGAAUAAGGAUCGGCUAACUCCGUGCCAGCAGCCGCGGUAAUACGGAGGAUCCAAGCGUUAUCCGGAAUCAUUGGGUUUAAAGGGUCCGUAGGCGGUUUUAUAAGUCAGUGGUGAAAUCCGGUAGCUCAACUAUCGAACUGCCAUUGAUACUGUAGAACUUGAAUUGCUGUGAAGUAACUAGAAUAUGUAGUGUAGCGGUGAAAUGCUUAGAUAUUACAUGGAAUACCAAUUGCGAAGGCAGGUUACUAACAUCAUAUUGACGCUGAUGGACGAAAGCGUGGGGAGCGAACAGGAUUAGAUACCCUGGUAGUCCACGCCGUAAACGAUGGAUACUAGCUGUUUGGUAGCAAUACUGAGUGGCUAAGCGAAAGUGAUAAGUAUCCCACCUGGGGAGUACGAACGCAAGUUUGAAACUCAAAGGAAUUGACGGGGGCCCGCACAAGCGGUGGAGCAUGUGGUUUAAUUCGAUGAUACGCGAGGAACCUUACCAGGGCUUAAAUGUAGAUUGACAGACUUGGAAACAGGUUUUUCUUCGGACAAUUUACAAGGUGCUGCAUGGUUGUCGUCAGCUCGUGCCGUGAGGUGUCAGGUUAAGUCCUAUAACGAGCGCAACCCCUGUCGUUAGUUGCCAGCGAGUCAUGUCGGGAACUCUAACGAGACUGCCGGUGCAAACCGUGAGGAAGGUGGGGAUGACGUCAAAUCAUCGCGGCCCUUACGUCCUGGGCUACACACGUGCUACAAUGGCCGGUACAGAGAGCAGCCACUGGGCGACCAGGAGCGAAUCUACAAAACCGGUCACAGUUCGGAUCGGAGUCUGCAACCCGACUCCGUGAAGCUGGAAUCGCUAGUAAUCGGAUAUCAGCCAUGAUCCGGUGAAUACGUUCCCGGGCCU
rnacentral:rRNA from 1 species